rnacentral:rRNA from 1 species
CGGGGAGGUAGUGACGAAAAAUAACGAUACGGGACUCAUCCGAGGCCCCGUAAUCGGAAUGAGUACACUUUAAAUCCUUUAACGAGGACCAAUUGGAGGGCAAGUCUGGUGCCAGCAGCCGCGGUAAUUCCAGCUCCAAUAGCGUAUAUUAAAGUUGUUGCGGUUAAAAAGCUCGUAGUUGAAUCUGUGUGUCACAGUGUCGGUUCACCGCUCGCGGUGUUUAACUGGCAUUAUGUGGUACGUCCUACCGGUGGGCUUAGCUCCUCACGGGGGGCGGUCCAACUAAUAUCCCAUCGCGGUGCUCUUCACUGAGUGUCGAGGUGGGCCGGUACGUUUACUUUGAACAAAUUAGAGUGCUCAAAGCAGGCUACCUUCGCCUGAAUACUCUGUGCAUGGAAUAAUGGAAUAGGACCUCGGUUCUAUUUUGUUGGUUUUCGGAACCCCGAGGUAAUGAUUAAUAGGGACAGAUGGGGGCAUUCGUAUUGCGACGUUAGAGGUGAAAUUCUUGGAUCGUCGCAAGACGGACAGAAGCGAAAGCAUUUGCCAAAAAUGUUUUCAUUAAUCAAGAACGAAAGUUAGAGGUUCGAAGGCGAUCAGAUACCGCCCUAGUUCUAACCAUAAACGAUGCCAGCUAGCGAUCCGCCGAAGUUCCUCCGAUGACUCGGCGGGCAGCUUCCGGGAAACCAAAGCUUUUGGGUUCCGGGGGAAGUAUGGUUGCAAAGCUGAAACUUAAAGGAAUUGACGGAAGGGCACCACCAGGAGUGGAGCCUGCGGCUUAAUUUGACUC